rnacentral:rRNA from 1 species
GUUAGGAAUCUUCCCCAAUGGGCGAAAGCCUGAGGGAGCGACGCCGCGUGAGGGAUGAAGGUUUUCGGAUCGUAAACCUCUGAAUCAGGGACGAAAGACCGCGUUAGCGGGGAUGACGGUACCUGAGUAAUAGCACCGGCUAACUCCGUGCCAGCAGCCGCGGUAAUACGGAGGGUGCAAGCGUUACCCGGAAUCACUGGGCGUAAAGGGCGUGUAGGCGGCUUGCUCAGUCUGACUUUAAAGACCGGGGCUCAACCUCGGAAGUGGGUUGGAUACUGGCAGGCUGGACCUCUGGAGAGAGAACCGGAAUUCCUGGUGUAGCGGUGGAAUGCGUAGAUACCAGGAGGAACACCGAUGGCGAAGGCAGGUUCUUGGACAGAAGGUGACGCUGAGGCGCGAAAGUGUGGGGAGCGAACCGGAUUAGAAACCCCUGUAGUCC